rnacentral:rRNA from 1 species
AACGAACGCUGGCGGCGUGCUUAACACAUGCAAGUCGAACGGAAAGGCCCUGCUUUUGUGGGCUGCUCGAGUGGAGAACGGGGGAGUUACCCGUGAGUAACCUGCACUUCCCUUUGAGAUAUGCUAAGGAAGCUGGGGCUAAUACCGGCUAGGAGCUACCGCUGCAUGGUGGGGGUGGGAUAGUUUCGGUAGUUGGGGGUGGACUAGCGGCUUAUGAGCUUGAUGGUGGGGUAGUGGCUUACCAAGGCUUUGACGGGUAGCCGGCCUGGGAGGGGGACAGGACACGCUGGGCCUGAGAUACGGCACGGACUCCAAUGGGAGGCAAGGGUGGGGAAUAGUGUAUAAUGGGCGGGAGCCUGAUGCAGUAACGCCGCGUGGGGGAUGACGGCCUUCGGGUAGGAAAGCGCAUCCGCCUUUGACGAAGCGAUAGUGACGGUAACGGGUGAAGAAGCACCGGCUAACUACGUG